AUUGAACGCUGGCGGCAGGCCUAACACAUGCAAGUCGAGCGGAUGAAGGGAGCUUGCUCCUGGAUUCAGCGGCGGACGGGUGAGUAAUGCCUAGGAAUCUGCCUGGUAGUGGGGGAUAACGUCCGGAAACGGGCGCUAAUACCGCAUACGUCCUGAGGGAGAAAGUGGGGGAUCUUCGGACCUCACGCUAUCAGAUGAGCCUAGGUCGGAUUAGCUAGUUGGUGGGGUAAAGGCCUACCAAGGCGACGAUCCGUAACUGGUCUGAGAGGAUGAUCAGUCACACUGGAACUGAGACACGGUCCAGACUCCUACGGGAGGUAGCAGUGGGGAGUAUUGGACAAAGGGCGAAAGCCUGAUCCAGCCAUGCCGCGUGUGUGAAGAAGGUCUUCGGAUUGUAAAGCACUUUAAGUUGGGAGGAAGGGCAGUAAGUUAAUACCUUGCUGUUUUGACGUUACCAACAGAAUAAGCACCGGCUAACUUCGUG
rnacentral:rRNA from 1 species